GGAUGUUGUUUUGUGGAAAUAUAAUUCUGGUGCGUAUAACCAAUGACGGAGGGAGGGGUGGCAUGGGAUGGCCAUAGCCCCCUCCAACUUCUUAAAAAUAUAAAAUAUAGCAUCUAAAGUUUUAAAAUUUUACGAUUUCGUCUUUCCUAAUUUUAAAAAUUACCUUUUUAUAUAAUACAUAUUUUAAUUUGGCCCCCUCUUAAAAUCCUGACUCCGUCACUGUGUAUAAUUCGGCUUUUUUUUGUGAGUGUCGGACUGGGUUUAACACAUAUCUGGGCAGAUCUGCCACUACCACCGGAAUCCAGAAUGUGGGCAGCAUGGUCACGCGGGAUUAUGGGAAUGUAAUGUCCCUGAGAGCUGGUGAUAUAAGGGGUCUGCAAUUUGAUUCGAAUGAGCAGAAUUUGAAUGACAAUUCAGCAGGUGAUGAUGGCAAUAGAGCUAGUCCGGUCCAUAUGAUUUGGGUGAGGGACGGUGUUAAUGUUAUUGGCACUGUUACUCCUUUCAAACGUGUUUGAAAUUCUAUUGCGCCUCUUCAAGACAUAAUUUGUGGAGGCCCCUAUUGAAAUACUUGGAUGCUUGUGGUUUAGAAAAUCUGAAAAUGCAGAAAUGGUAGUCUUUCAAAAUGAAGUUGUGGAUAAGGACGUAGUGAUUUUUAAUUGUUUUUGUAAGGCAUUCUGGUUGUUUAAAAAUUGUAACAGGAACUUUGCUUUUUCAGGCAUGGAUUUCUUUAGAAAUCCGUAUUGUAGUACCCUUUAGUGUGCCUUAGUACAUUACUUUUUAUGCGAAA